UACGUAGGGGGCGAGCGUUGUCCGGAAUUAUUGGGCGUAAAGCGCGCGCAGGCGGUUUCUUAAGUCUGGUGUGAAAGGCCACGGCUCAACCGUGGAAUGGCAUUGGAAACUGGGAGACUUGAGUGUAGGAGAGGAAAGUGGAAUUCCUGGUGUAGCGGUGAAAUGCGUAGAGAUUGGGAGGAACACCAGUGGCGAAGGCGGCUUUCUGGACUGUAACUGACGCUGAGGCAUGAAAGUGUGGGGAGCAAAC
rnacentral:rRNA from 1 species